GAAAGUCGUGUGCAAUGAAAAAUGCAAGCACGGUUUGGGGAGGGAUUUUUGAUUCUUUAAAAUUUUUUUUCUUAAAAGACCAUUCCAAC
rnacentral:ncRNA from 1 species